CCUACGGGUGGCAGCAGUCGAGAAUCAUUCACAAUGGGGGAAACCCUGAUGGUGCGACGCCGCGUGGGGGAAUGAAGGUCUUCGGAUUGUAAACCCCUGUCAUGUGGGAGCAAAUUAAAAAGAUAGUACCACAAGAGGAAGAGACGGCUAACUCUGUGCCAGCAGCCGCGGUAAUACAGAGGUCUCAAGCGUUGUUCGGAAUCACUGGGCGUAAAGGGUGCGUAGGCGGUUUCGUAAGUCGUGUGUGAAAGGCGCGGGCUCAACCCGCGGACGGCACAUGAUACUGCGAGACUAGAGUAAUGGAGGGGGAGCCGGAAUUCUCGGUGUAGCAGUGAAAUGCGUAGAUAUCUGGAGGAACACUCGUGGCGAAGGCGGGUUCCUGGACCUUAACUGACGCUGAGGCACGAAGGCCAGGGGAGCGAAAGGGAUUAGAUACCCCAGUAGUC
rnacentral:rRNA from 1 species